rnacentral:rRNA from 1 species
GCUUACGGCCAUACCAGCCUGAAAGCGCCCGAUCUCGUCAGAUCUCGGAAGCUACGCAAGGUCGGGCCUGGUUAGUACUUGGAUGGGAGACUUCCUGGGAAUACCAGGUGCUGUAAGCA